rnacentral:tRNA from 1 species
AUUUAUAUAGUUUAUUAUUAAAACAUUACAUUUUCAUUGUAAAAAUAGUGUAUAUUACUUAUAAAUU